AUUGAACGCUGGCGGCAGGCCUAACACAUGCAAGUCGAGCGGAUGACGGGAGCUUGCUCCUUGAUUCAGCGGCGGGCGGGGGAGUAAUGCCUAGGAAUCUGCCUGGUAGUGGGGGACAACGUUUCGAAAGGACCGCUAAUACCGCAUACGUCCCACGGGCGAAAGCAGGAGACCUUCGGGCCUUGCGCUACCAGAUGAGCCUAGGUCGUAUUAGCUAGUAGGUGGGGUAAUGGCUCACCUAGGCGACGAUCCGUAACUGGUCUGAGAGGAUGAUCAGUCACACUGGAACUGAGACACGGUCCAGACUCCUACGGGAGGCAGCAGUGGGGAAUAUUGGACAAUGGGCGAAAGCCUGAUCCAGCCAUGCCGCGUGUGUGAAGAAGGUCUUCGGAUUGUAAAGCACUUUAAGUUGGGAGGAAGGGCAGUAAGUUAAUACCUUGCUGUUUUGACGUUACCGACAGAAUAAGCACCGGCUAACUCUUUGCCAGCCGCCGCGGUAAGAC
rnacentral:rRNA from 1 species